AAACUGCGGACGGCUCAUUAAAUCAGUUAUCGUUUAUUUGAUAGCACCUACUACAUGGAUAACUGUGGUAAUUCUAGAGCUAAUACAUGCUAAAAAUCCCGACUUCGGAAGGGAUGUAUUUAUUAGAUUAAAAACCAAUGCCCUUCGGGCUCUCUGGUGAUUCAUAAUAACUGCUCGAAUCGCAUGGCCUUGCGCCGGCGAUGGCUCAUUCAAAUUUCUGCCCUAUCAACUUUCGACGGCUGGGUCUUGGCCAGCCAUGGUGACAACGGGUAACGGAGGGUUAGGGCUCGACCCCGGAGAAGGAGCCUGAGAGACGGCUACUACAUCCAAGGAAGGCAGCAGGCGCGCAAAUUACCCAAUCCCAAUUCGGGGAGGUAGUGACAAUAAAUACUGAUACAGGGCUCUUUUGGGUCUUGUAAUCGGAAUGAGAACAAUUUAAAUCCCUUAACGAGGAACAAUUGGAGGGCAAGUCUGGUGCCAGCAGCCGCGG
rnacentral:rRNA from 1 species